rnacentral:rRNA from 1 species
GACGAACGCUGGCGGCGUGCUUAACACAUGCAAGUCGAACGGACAGACCCUGCUCUUGUGGGGUGCUCGAGUGGCGCACGGGUGUGUAACACGUGAGUAACCUGCCCCUGACUUUGGGAUAACUUCUCGAAACUCGGGCUAAUACCGGAUAGGAGCUCCUGCUGCACGGUGGGGGUUGGAAAGUUUCGGCGGUUGGGGCUGGACUCGCGGCUUAUCAGCUUGUUGGUGGGGUAGUUGCUUACCAAGGGUUUGACGGGUAGCCCGCCUGGGAGGGUAGACGGCCACAUUGGUACUAAGAGACGGCGCAGACGCCAAUGGGAGGCAGCAGUGGGGAAUAUGACACAGUGGGCGGAAGCCUGAUACAGCAGCGCCGCGUGCGGGAUGACGGCUUUCGAGUUGAAAACCGAUGUCGACUGUGACAAAGAGUGAGUGACGGUAACGGAUAAAGAAGCAACGGCUAACUACGUG